GCCUCGCCCGUCACUUCUCUCAACGUUCCGUUGCCAGCUCCACAAGCCUCAAGCUUCAACUCUUUGAUCUUCAAAAGGGUUCGCAGUCUGUGGAUGAAUACCUUCAACAUGCCAAAUCUAUUGCUGAUUCUUUGGCUUCCAUCAACCAACCUGUCUCUGAUGCCGACUUGGUUGUUGCCACACUUCAUGGGCUUGGUCCCGAUUACCUAAUGCUUCGUACUGCUCUUGCUCAGUCCUCAGCCCUACCUAAUUUCUCUGACCUCCGCACUCGAAUCCUUGCCUUUGACGCUCAACAGACCCGUUCUUCUGCGUCCCCCUCAGCCACCGCCCUUUUCCAUCACGGCCCAGCACCAGAUACCCAGCCUCCCCUGCCUCGUGCUUCUCAGCCUCGGCGUGACGGACGCCGGCCGCAGUACGGUGGCUGAAACGCGCAGCGUUUCCGCCGUGGAGGUGCGCGGCCUCCUCACGCGUUUCAGCAACACGCGGCUCCUCAAAACGCGAACGCGUCCUUUUCUCCAGCUAAUUGGGCAGCCCGCCCCACUUGGUCAAAUGGGCUUCUUGGUCCCGGUCCACAAUGUUGUUCUAAUUGCCACACCAAUCAGCAUGGGCUCACUCAUUGCCCACAUCGCUUUUCCGGCC
rnacentral:lncRNA from 1 species